GGCUCACAGUGAUUCAUCUGCAGCCUCUCUGGCGUUCAGAGAUUCAGAAGGAGGCGUCAGAAGUGCCGCCUGGCACUCCCCGUGUCACACGCACCGCACCUGUAGUCCCAGGGAGAAACCUCUCUUCGUGUUUUGUUCUUAGGGAAAUCACACGUGAGCAGCAAGCACCAUGAGCACACGCACACGCCCCGCUCUAACAGUCUCUCGGGCGGCCAUGCAGCCUUCCAACAUCGCUCACUUUGGUUUUCUUCGCUUCCACGGGUGCCGCCUCUGUAGGCCCCGGAGGGCUGGCGGCACCGCAAGCGUGGCUGGUGCUGGGGAGGUCGGCCCUGGCAGCUCCACGCCUGGGAAAGGUACUUCCAGGCACUCAGAGAGGCUAAAUAAAUUCUGGACCAUCCCACUACUUGGAGAUCUCUGAAGCUCUGACUUCCUUGGAUGUAUCCCUUCAAUCCCAUCCUAAUCCUACCUGGAGUUCCCUCUGGUGGAAUCAUGUCACACAGCCCCACCGAAGGCUAUCAGCACAGUAUGUAGAUGGGUAAACAGGAAAGUGUGGAGUGUGAGCAGAUACAAGAUAAAAUAAGGAGAUUUUAAGCCACCUUCAGCCCUAUAGAGAGUGUACGUUAUAAUUACAACACGUAUCUCAGGCUUCCUCUGCAUACACUCUCUCACUGACAACUGCAGAAAAAAUAACAAUGACUCCAGAGAAAUUGGAAAAUAAUCAUACUUAGAGAGCAUUGGGCUGAGCCAGUACCCUGUUCAUGCUCAGUAAGUAUUAAACUACGUGUUCAGUCGGUCCUGACUUGUACUUCAGGUAAAUGUAAUUUAUCACACAGCCUUACUGAUUACAGGACUGUCCCAUCCCCCUGCACUCUGUUAAUCUGCUUGUUUCCAUUUACGGCUGUGUACGCUAGGCUCUUGUUAUGCAGUUACAUGCCACUAAUUAGUUUGAUCUAGCUCAGACUCGUAACUCAAACAAAAACAAGCGGCACUUGAGUUUGCAAUAAAUUGGUCAAAUUUUAACA
rnacentral:lncRNA from 1 species